GCAGCAUUUUUACCACGUGAGAGGAUAAAGAUAAGUGGUUGCUCAUUUGAAUUCAAAUCAAAUUUGAAUUCAAAUGCCAACCAACUCAUUCCUAUCCACUCUACACAUGAGAAGAGAAGGGCCUAGGCUCUCUUGUGUGUGGAGAGUUUAUACGAGAAACUCUUUCUCGUGUAAAGCAAGGGGCGCACAAAAUGGAUAAGGACAUGGCGCAU
rnacentral:lncRNA from 1 species